CCUACGGGCGGCUGCAGUAGGGAAUCUUCCACAAUGGGCGCAAGCCUGAUGGAGCAACACCGCGUGAGUGAAGAAGGGUUUCGGCUCGUAAAGCUCUGUUGUUGGAGAAGAACGUGCGUGAGAGUAACUGUUCACGCAGUGACGGUAUCCACCCAGAAAGUCCCGGCUAACUACGUGCCAGCAGCCGCGGUAAUACGUAGGUGGCAAGCGUUAUCCGGAUUUACUGGGCGUAAAGCGAGCGCAGGCGGUUGCUUAGGUCUGAUGUGAAAUCCUUCGGCUUAACCGAAGAAGUGCAUCUGAAACCGGGCAACUAGAGUGCUGAAGAGGAGAGUGGAACUCCAUGUGUAGCGGUGGAAUGCGUAGAUAUAUGGAAGAACACCAGUGGCGAAGGCGGCUGUCUGGUCUGCAACUGACGCUGAGGCGCGAAAGCAUGGGGAGCGAACAGGAUUAGAUACCCUAGUAGUC
rnacentral:rRNA from 1 species